AACAGGAAAUGCACAAUGCUAAAAACUGCGUAGGAGAUUUUAAUACAAUAGUACUACCAAGCCUGAUGUUGGCCGCUAUUUCAAUGAAUGCAGCAGUGUGACAGCUAGCAAUCAAAAGUAACAAGAUAUCGAGGAAAUGCAGAUGGCAAUAAACUGUGUAGGAGUUCAUGAUUGCAAUAGAAUAAAAUCGACCAAGCCUGAAGUCAGCAGCCCCUUCAAUGAAUGCAGCAGUGUGACAGCCAGCAAUCAAAAGUUACAAGAUAUCGAGGAAAUGCAGAUGGCAAUAAACUGUGUAGGAGUUUAUGAUUGCAAUAGAAUAAAAUCGACCAAGCCUGAAGUCAGCAGCCCCUUCAAUGAAUGCAGCAGUGUGACAGCCAACAAUCAAAAGUUACAAGAUAUCGAGGAAAUGCAGAUGGCAAUAAACUGUGUAGGAGUUUAUGAUUGCAAUAGAAUAAAAUCGACCAAGCCUGAAGUCAGCAGCCCCUUCAAUGAAUGCAGCAGUGUGACAGCCAACAAUCAAAAGUUACAAGAUAUCGAGGAAAUGCAGAAAGCAAAAAACUGCGUAGGAGAUCAUUAAUACAAAAGUAUUAUAUAAACCAAACCUGAUGUUGCCAUCUCUUUCAAUGAAUGCAGCAGUGUGACAGCCAGCAAUCAAAAGUAACAAGAUAUCGAGGAAAUGCAGAAGGCAAAAAACUGCGUAGGAGAUCAUUAAUACAAUAGUAUUAUAUAAACCAAGCCUGAUGUUGGCCGCUCAUUCAAAGAAUGCAGCAGUGUGACAGCCAGCAAUCAAAAGUAACAAGAUGUCGAGGAAAUGCAGAAGGCAAAAAACUGCGUAGGAGAUUAUUAAUACAAUAGUAUUAUAUCAACCAAGCCUGAUGUCGGUAGCUUCUUCAAUGAAUGCAGCAGUGUGACAGCCAGCAAUCAAUAGUGAUAGUGACAAGAAUCUAGGAAAUACAGAAGGCAAAGAAGCAGAUGUCAUCAAAGAAGAUCUUUGUUCCUGCAAUGUUUCCGCAGACGAUACAUCCAACAGAGCGAAGUGGAAGGAAAAGACUCGGAAAAAAGAGCCCACCACCAUAUGGGAACAAUG